rnacentral:rRNA from 1 species
GACGAACGCUGGCGGCGUGCUUAACACAUGCAAGUCGAACGGAAAGGCUCCAGCUUGCUGGAGUUCUCGAGGGGCGAACGGGUGAGUAACACGUGGGUAAUCUGCCCUGCACUUUGGGAUAAGCCUGGGAAACUGGGUCUAAUACAGGAUAUGACCUUUCCCCCGAGGGGGUUCGGGGGAAAGUGUUUCGGUGUAGGAUGGGCCGGCGGCCUAUCGGCUUGGCGGGGGGGUGAUGGCAUCCCAAGGCGAAGACGGGUACCCGGCCUGAGAGGGUGGGCGGCCACAUUGGGCCUGCGGUACGGCCCAGACUCCUACGGGAGGCAGCGGUGGGGAGUAUUGCACAAUGGGCGGACGCGUGAUACGGAGACGCCGCGUGAGGGAUGACGGCCUUCGGGUUGUAAACAUCUUUCGGCUGAGACGAAGCGUAAGUGACGGUACCUGAAGAAGAAGCACCGGCUAACUAUGUG